UGGGGAAUAUUGCGCAAUGGGCGAAAGCCUGACGCAGCGACGCCGCGUGGGGGAUGACGGCCUUCGGGUUGUAAACCUCUUUCGACCGGGACGAAGCGUAAGUGACGGUACCGGUAUAAGAAGCACCGGCCAACUACGUGCCAGCAGCCGCGGUAAUACGUAGGGUGCGAGCGUUGUCCGGAAUUAUUGGGCGUAAAGAGCUCGUAGGCGGUGUGUCACGUCGAUCGUGAAAACUUACAGCUUAACUGUGAGCGUGCGGUCGAUACGGGCAUCACUGGAGUUCGGCAGGGGAGACUGGAAUUCCUGGUGUAGCGGUGAAAUGCGCAGAUAUCAGGAGGAACACCGGUGGCGAAGGCGGGUCUCUGGGCCGAUACUGACGCUGAGGAGCGAAAGCGUGGGGAGCGAAC
rnacentral:rRNA from 1 species